rnacentral:rRNA from 1 species
CCUACGGGUGGCAGCAGUGAGGAAUAUUGGUCAAUGGGCGCGAGCCUGAACCAGCCAAGUCGCGUGAGGGAAGACGGUCCUAUGGAUUGUAAACCUCUUUUGUCGGGGAGCAAAAGACGCCACGCGUGGCGUUCCGAGCGUACCCGAAGAACAAGCAUCGGCUAACUCCGUGCCAGCAGCCGCGGUCAUACGGAGGCUGCUAGCGUUAUCCGGAUUUAUUGGGUUUAAGGGGCGCGCAGGCGGAAGAGCAAGUCAGCGGUAAAAUUGAGAGGCUCAACCUCUUCGAGCCGUUGAAACUGGUUGUCUUGAGUGAGUGAGAAGUAUGCGGAAUGCGUGGUGUAGCGGUGAAAUGCAUAGAUAUCACGCAGAACUCCGAUUGCGAAGGCAGCAUACCGGCGCUCAACUGACGCUCAUGCACGAAAGUGUGGGUAUCGAACAGGAUUAGAUACCCGAGUAGUC